rnacentral:rRNA from 1 species
GGAGGAAGCAGGGGAUCGCAAGACCUUGCGCUUUUGGAGCGGCCGAUGCCUGAUUAGCUUGUUGGUGAGGUAAAAGCUCACCAAGGCUUCGAUCAGUAGCUGGUCUGAGAGGACGACCAGCCACACUGGGACUGAGACACGGCCCAGACUCCUACGGGAGGCAGCAGUGGGGAAUUUUGGACAGUGGGGGCAACCCUGAUCCAGCCAUGCCGCGUGAGUGAAGAAGGCCUUCGGGUUGUAAAGCUCUUUCAGCCGGAACGAAACGGUUACGGUUAAUACCCGUGACUACUGACGGUACCGGAAGAAGAAGCACCGGCUAACCACGUGCCAGCAGCCGCGGUAAUACGUAGGGUGCGAGCGUUAAUCGGAAUUACUGGGCGUAAAGCGUGCGCAGGUGGUUUUGUAAGUCAGAUGUGAAAUCCCCGGGCUUAACCUGGGAACUGCGUUUGAAACUACAAGGCUAG